rnacentral:lncRNA from 13 species
GGGUGAAGCAGACUUGGUAUAACUGACUUUUGUUGUUCUUGAUGCAUUCUUCUCGUUUUAAAUCGGCCCCUUUUCAGAUUGUGUGUAGCCAUAAACGGCUUUUCUUCUUACAGGGGUAGCUAGCAAAGGACCAGCGUUCAGCGAGGAGCAUGAGCGGCAGUACGCUGAAGUAGGAGCACUGGCUCUUGUAAAAACUCUGCGGACUAGGGGGCUAGUAAAGAGGGAGAGAUGCCCAGAGAGCAUACAGCUGUUUCGGUCGAGCGAGAGAGAGUUCUCCGGCGGCUGAAGAGUGGUUCUUGAAUCGGACAGAUGAUGUUCCAUCCUCUUUUCUGCCAAUCACCCAAAGAUGAGGACAACACCCAAACUGGCACGAGCUAUGCGCCUAAGGAUUACGAAGGACUACCGUGCAAAGUUUGUUGCCUGUAAACCAAUGCUUUGAGGUGAAGAUUAUUCGCCCAAAAUGUUCAAGAUUCUCACCAAGGUAUUCGUUCAUUUUAUAUUUUUUACAUAAUCAAUACACUCAUCAUUUGAUUUAUUUUAAUUCUAAUUCAAAUUGAGAACAGGUUUGUUCGGGGCAUGCAUAUUAUUUAAAACAGGCCUAUACUGGUUUGAAAUAAGUUUACCUCUCAUGGAUCAGAAAACAAAGUUUGAAUGUGACAACAUUAACGUUGAGACAGUCCAUUUGAGCGCCUGGAUUUUAAAGUUUUGUAGUAUCGAUCAUUUAAAAUGUAAUA